GCCCGGGUGGUGCAGUGGUUAGCACGCGCUCCCGGAAGGGGAGACGCGGGGUCAAAUCCCGCCUGAGGUU